AGGACGCCGGAGCCCAGCCCAACGGCUUCCACCGCACGCCGCGCUGCAGCGCCGGCUCCGCCGCGGAGGACUCCGGCUCGGAGGGUGGAGGCGAGUGGGCGGACCCCGGCGCGGAGGCGCUCUUCUCCCGGACUCAUCUCUAACCCCGCCCCCCCGCAGAGCAGUACAAGUUUUUUUUUUUUUUUAAUUGCUAUGUGAGGGGGAAAGUACCCUUUUGUGAGGCCUGUUAAUCUAAAACAACAACUUAGGUUUCUUCUUCAAUUAACUGGUUCAGAUCAGUAAUUCUCUUUCUCUUCUUGCUUAUUUUAGAGUUGAGGACAGCUGUCCUGUUGAAGAUUUUCUUUCUUUUUUUUUUUUUUCUUCUUCUUCCAAGCUGUUAAAAUUCUUGGCUCUCUGAACUAGACUAGAACCGGUGUGCAUGUGCUCGUCUUAGAAGCAUCACUGCCUUCCGCGUCCUCCCGCUGCCGCAGCCCUCCCCACCUCCGGCCGCAGUCCGUCACCGCCCCCCCUUGCUAGCACCGCAGCGUCAGCGCCCACGUCCACUCCUCAGAGACUCUAGCUUCGGGGACACGCAGGCUCUGUCCUCUCCGAUCUGGGGUGUGAAUGCUUACCCCUGCGGCGGGUCAGUGCCUGUCUCCGGAGGCCAGAGGGCAGCCUGGGUGACUCAUCCCCGGUCUCCAUUCAGUAAAAAAAAUCUCAUGUACAUUUAACGUAGGAACUGCAAGGGUGUGCUUUUAGAGACUUAACAAAAAUACUGUGUUUUCUAUCUUAGGAUCUUCCCCUAGAGUAUGUACCAUGGACAGUGCCAUGGUCGGUGACCUCCUCGCUAGCUGAGGCAGCCAAGGACUUGGAGGUAUGGGGUGGCAUGUAAGGCCAGGUGGGGCAGAGGGCGGGGAAGUGCACCCCAGCCUGCUGUCGUCGCAGUCUCUUUGCCCGCCCCCGACACCGGUCAGGGUUUGCGGUGAGUCUUGGCAAUACUCGGUGAGGACCUGGGUUGCAGGUGAGAUUCUUGCAGUGACCGACAUGGAAUCCAAGCCCCUCCCCCCCNNCCUAGAACUUGAGAUUGUAAACGUCUGACCUGAAACAAAGGCCACCUCACGACCCCAAAGAGACCUUGGCUGCAGCAGCUGGCUGCGCUCCUGGCUCUGACUUAGAGUAGCUUAGAUCUUCUUUUGUGUUUGAGAGAAUGUUCUGGGCAAGUUCUGUGUGGCGGGUCUGAGAGCAGAGUCCUGGUUUCUCCCGUACCGGUGUGAGGGCUCCACGGGGCCACUGGCCCGUGUCGUCGGGAAGCCAGGGCUCGGUCAGUCUCGUCCAGGCCCAUCCGUUUCACGACGGUCACUUCCUCAAGCUUUUCACACCGCCGCGCAACAGGCUGAAGUUAGAAGGAGCAAUAUUUGCAAAACCUAAAUGUUUAAAGUUACUUUUCUUUUUUUAACCGACGUGUGAGAUCAGUUGAGCGUGUCUGUAACGUCGGGAAGUCUUAACUGGAUGAGACAGCUCCACCACUGAUUCUGGCAGGCACUAGACACUUAAUAUGUUCUAGCUGG
ensembl:lncRNA